UCAUAAUUAAGGUGAAGACUCUUCUAACAUCUAGAUUUCAAUCCACAGGCAUGGAUUGAAACUAUUGGAAGGGUUAAAGUUACGUGCACUCUUGUAUAUGGCUUUGGUUCUAUGGAUAGAUCUGAUUACCUAUUUUACUCAAGUUAAUCCACUAUUGCAGCAACAACAUCUUACUCUAUUUGUGGUCCAUCAUUAGUGCCUUCUCAACCUCAGAUACAAGAAUAGAUUGAUGAGUUGAGGACUCAACUUAGGUCUUUCAUGGAUUAAAUGAUGCAAUUGAUGGGGUCUAGAAAAUUUUUGCCAACAUGAUAUUCUAGACCUAACGAUAGCAACACCAAUUCUGGAAUAGGAGAUGCAGCAACACAAUGAGCU
rnacentral:lncRNA from 1 species